rnacentral:rRNA from 1 species
UACGUAGGGGGCAAGCGUUGUCCGGAAUCAUUGGGCGUAAAGCGCGUGUAGGCGGUCCGGUAAGUCCGCUGUGAAAGUCGGGGGCUCAACCCUCGAAUGCCGGUGGAUACUGUCGGGCUAGAGUGCGGAAGAGGCGAGUGGAAUUCCUGGUGUAGCGGUGAAAUGCGCAGAUAUCAGGAGGAACACCAAUUGCGAAGGCAGCUCGCUGGGACGUAACUGACGCUGAGAACGCGAAAGCGUGGGGAGCAAACAGG